rnacentral:rRNA from 1 species
CACGUAGGGUGCGAGCGUUGUCCGGAAUUAUUGGGCGUAAAGAGCUCGUAGGCGGUGUGUCGCGUCGGCCGUGAAAACCUGCAGCUUAACUGUGGGCUUGCGGUCGAUACGGGCAUCACUGGAGUUCGGCAGGGGAGACUGGAAUUCCUGGUGUAGCGGUGAAAUGCGCAGAUAUCAGGAGGAACACCAGUGGCGAAGGCGGCUCACUGGCCCGGUACUGACGCUGAUGUGCGAAAGCGUGGGGAGCAAACAGG